AUAAAUAGAGGUGGUGGAGUCAGGACUCGCCUUCUGGCCUUGGCUCUUGGUCCCAUAUUUGUUUCCCCUAUAGCUGUAUCAGAUGGAGGUAUGAGUGAAGAUUUGGAUUCCCGCAAGGGAUUUAGCAAACUUUAGGGAUAUUUCUUUCUCUUGCAACUCAACUUGUUGCUUUCUUGUCUUGGUCCCUUUUAUAAGUCUCCCGAGCUUGUAAGACAGUAGUUAGAUAACACCGGGCUUAACUCCAUUGUUUUAUUUUUAAUUUACUUUAUUUUGGAUAGCGGAAGCCCUGACCAGGCACGGAGUGUCUCACAAAGUAGACGAUUCCUCUGGGUCAAUCGGAAGGCGCUAUGCCAGGACUGAUGAGAUUGGCGUGGCUUUUGGUGUCACCAUUGACUUUGACACAGUGAACAAGACCCCCCACACUGCAACUCUGAGGGACCGUGACUCAAUGCGGCAGAUAAGAGCAGAGGUCUCUGAGCUGCCCAGCAUAGUCCGAGACCUAGCCAAUGGCAACAUCACGUGGGCCGAUGUGGAGGCCAGGUAUCCUCUGUUUGAAGGGCAAGAGACUGGUAAAAAAGAGACAAUCGAGGAAUGAGGACAAUUUUGACAACUUUUGACCACUUGCGCUAAUAAAAAAAAAAACAACAACUCUUAUGUCCACUUUACAAAAGAAAACAGCGUUGUGAUUACUCCCAGGGACCGUAUUUUAUCUUCAGUGGCUGCCUGAUUUUACCCCCACAAUUAAAGUUGAAGGAAUCCUGAACAAA
rnacentral:sRNA from 1 species